AGAAGAGAGAACGAACGAUUCAUAAUUUAUGGAUAACAUCCAAGUGGUUUGGUCAAAAAAGAAAACAUCCAAGUGGUAUAUUGUAAGCUUAAUCAGUGUGUCUUUCAAGAGGAAACAUCCACUAUCACAAUAUUAAUUAUUAUGUUUAUAGUUGAAUAAACGUUCUAGUCUAAAUUAUUUUUAUUUAAAACUCUAUAACAGAGUAACACAAACCAGAUUAAGCUUAUAUUUUUUUUGUCAAAACUCAAAACCAGUGAAAUUUAAAUUCUAUAAAUAUGGAUAAAUGGGAAAUCAUGUUUAUGUAUAUUUGAAGGUUAAUCAUGUUUAUAUUGAGCAAAAUAAUAUUGAAGAAAGUAAAAUGUAUAAAAAAUAUUUUGUUGUUUAAAAUAUAUAUUAAGUAGUCUACAAGACAACAACCAAACAUAUUUUCCCGGUUAGACAUGUUUGGCUGUAGUCUCGAUCUACUAUUAAUAAAUUUUAGAGAAAUUACUUAAAAUGACUCUAAUUAAUCAUCAAAUGACUAGACUAACUCAUAUAAUUUUGAAAUUACUAGAUUAACUCUUGAAGCAUGCAAAUUUACGAUUUUGCCAUUAUAUGCUAAUUAAAAAAAACUAUAUCUUUAAUUAUAAAGGAGAGUUUUCUCCCUUUUUAGGCUGUCCACGUCAAUCUGGAGAGGAGGGGAAAUCGUGACACGUCAGCGUUUCUUUUAAGCUCUUCUAUUUCGUUGACGAGUUUAAAAUGGUUGGAACUUUAUGUUCAACCCAUUAAGGGCCCACCUCUGCAUUCCGAGUCUUCGUCUUCUCAAUAGCCCUUUUUUUUGUGUCGGAUGAGUUUUCUUCCGCCGAAUGUUACUGCUUGAAAUUGAUUCAAGUCUUAAAGCGAUUACAUUAACAUCCUCCGCCACUAAACCCAUUACGUCGACUUCAAUGUUCCCUCUCCAACACCGAUUUCAUUAUCCGUAAUUUUUCAUAGUAUAAAUAAGUCAUGAAGCCCUCUCAGCACCGUAUAAGAUCCUGAUAAGUUCUUGAUAUAAAUUCCAGAAACCGUUUCCAUUUUUCUGUAACAGUACUCUCAGUUUAUUCGCAUUCUCCUUCUCAUGUGUACUCUUAGACUCCUUUCUUUCAUUGACCUCGACUUUGAUUAUCCAUUUUUUUUCCUCUUCAAAACUGACUUCCUAUUGACAUAAAUCUCAUAUCAUUUUGUUUCUUAUGGACCAGAUCAAACCAUUCAGUGCCGUCGUUGAUUAAAAUUGCUUCUAUCGUUCGUUCGUCGAACACGACAGCGGCCGCAUUAAGCAUACGGCAUCAGGUUUUUCGGAGUAAACCAAAUUAAUUAAGUACUUUGAAAUGGGUUGUCCAAAUUAGGAAGAACCAAAUCCGGUUGGCUUUACAGGGACUUAUUGCCUAGGUGUGCAGUGAGCAUGUGAAGGAAAGCCGAAAGCUGCGUUUCCAGUGGUCAAAAUGCAGAACAAACAAGGACAAUUAGCUGAGAUUUUAGUUCCAAUAAGAUGGUAUAUAUUCAGCUUAAUUUGUUUCCAUUUUUGCGUUUGAAUAUUCUUAAUCUGGUUAUCGUAGUGACUAAAUUGAUUCUAUUGUGGUACGGUUGUUAAUGUAAUUUUCUGCUCAGCCACCACAGGCUGAUGACAUCUCUUGCUACUGAAUGAUACUUGCAUGUACCCCUUAUUUAGAUGGAGUUUGAUGUAACAGUGCGGUACAUCUCAACUCUGCUUCUGUUAGACUGUUACAACCUAAGGAGCAAUGCAAGUGGUGUAGUGAUAAACAUGCUGUAAACAAACUGAGUUUUUCCAUAAAGAUGUUGUGGAAGUUUCAUUAGAGCACAAUGGCAAUGUAAAAAAAAUUCUACUUCUCUAUUUGAUUAUCCAUCGAUCCGACAAAAAUGUAAACCAAAAAGUUUGUUUCUUUAUGACUCGGUAGCCCAAUGGUGAGAUAGAAGAUAAGUCACAGUGUCACACCACUGUCUGUGAUAGCAGCUGGUUCUCUACCACGCUUAGAGUUGUUGAUCAAGGUUUGACAACAACUUCUAAAUCCAUAGAGUUGUGUUGUUUAUAGGUUGUUAUAACAUCUUAAAUCUGUGCUAACAAAAUGUGUGGUUCUUAAUCCUAAUUAUAGGCAUGUGUCGAUACUAAUGUCUUUGCAGGUGGUGCAACUGAGAUAUUGGAAACCUCGACUUAAUCAACUGUUCACGUAAAGCUAGGAUGUUCCGUAUAAAAAACUAGGUAAAAACAAUUUGGAAACAAGAUAACACAAUUUUUAGUAAUUUUGCUAUUGUAAACUUGAAAAUUUCAUGAAGGACAUAGUUCAUUUGAGGUUUCAGCUGCUAGAAACGAUAUAAAGGUACUUCAACUUCUAUUCAUGCUGACGAAAAAAACUAAUCUAUUUCGAAUUGGACAGGUAAAUGGAGAAAAAUGUGGCCUCCAGUAUGCGCAUAUUUAAUGCAUAGAAUAUUGUUCUUGAUCUUUUAUUGUAGCCUAAGGUUGGUUACAAACACCUACGUAAUGGGUCUUCUACAUAAAUCAAGUAUAUAUAUAUAUGUGUGUGUGUGUGUAGCAUGUUCAUAUUUGUAAAGUUGGUGGCAGAUUCUAAACCGAAUGAUAAUCAUUGUUCCUCACGAUUAAUUAUUAAAUUUACAUUUAAUUUUCUCACUAAUACUUUCAUAGUGUAACUUUUUGUUUUAUUCUUCUGUUUUUGCUAAACAAUGUAAUUUAUUAAAAUUGUUAAGAAAUCAUCAGAAAUCUAAAAACACAACAGUUAUGCUUUAAAACAAAUGCACAUGAGAAAUUAAACAAGGAAUUAAGAAAACCAAUAUGUAAACAUAUUUAGGAACUAGAUGUAACCAAAGAUAUAAAACCCCGCGCGGAAUAAAACAUCAUUUGUUGUUACAUAAUAUAUACUAUUUAUUAUUUAUGGUAUUAUUGAAACUAUUUAUAUAUUGUUUUAAGAUUUAACUUUUUAUAAUUUUCUUACAUUACAUUUGAUUUUCAAUUGAUUUAGUUUGGGAUGGGUGUAUUAAUUUAUUAUCGUGAAAAAUUAGUUAUUGUAAUAAUAUUAAAAUCUGAUAAUCUUAGAAAUAAAAUAUUAGUUUACUUUACCUUAGAUUUUCUUCAACUAUAUAAAAUUGAAAUUGAAAUCAAAUAAAAAAAAUUAAAUCAUUAUUUUUUUCUUAAUUUUUUAAUUUAAUAAUUUUGUGUUCUCUAACAAAAAAACGUUAAUGGUCUUUUCAACUCAAACCAACAAAAUUUAAUAAAGUUUACAAUAUACUUUUAGAAUAAAAAUAGAUUACAUUUAUUUUUUUCAGUACAAAGUAAAUUUUAUAAAAUUAAUUAUUUUAAUAUAAAAUAGUUUUAGUGUAAUUUUACCCGCCCGUAGGGCGGGCAAACCCCUAGUUUAAUAUUAUAAGAAAGAAAAAAAGGCAAACACUUAGGGCGAAACGCUCUCCUCGUCUUCUCCUUCACCUCCAUCUCCAAUGGUCCCUUUUCCCUCAAAACAGGCUCCGUCUCCGUCACCAGCGUGACUCGACUUUGUCUCCGCCAUCCUCCACGAUAAAUCACCUUCUUCUCUUCCUACUCGACAAACCCGAAACCGAUUUCACCGCAGUCACAUCCGGCUUCAACUACAAGUUACUCUAAUCUAUGAGUCUUUAAUCUAUGCUAUUCGAGUUGUUGUUGUCAUAGAUUAAUUGAUUGCAUGUUGAAAUUUUGGAACCCUAAUUCCCAGUUUCAUCUAACUGACUUUCAGAUCUGUUAAUUGUAUUUGAUAAUUAGCAUUUACUGUCUGUUUUUAUUUAAAGUUGUAUAAACUAGUGACUUGGUUUCGGAUUGUUUAAAAUUGUUUCCUCUUAGGAUCUAAUGAGAUACAUACGUGAUAUUGGGAAGAAAAUUGCAACAGUUCCAGGAUAACUUUUCUUGGAAGAGAAACAACUGUUUCUUGGUGAAACAGUUCGGCAAAGGGAAUGCUAAGGUUUUAUUUAGCAAAGAGAGCAACAACCUCUGCAAACUCAACUCUUACAAGCACUCUGGUUUGGCGUACAAGAAGACAAUGACCAUUCAGGUAGCUGACAAGGAGCAAGGCGUGGUACUUGGAACCACCAAGACAAAGACAAAGAAACAAAACAAUCUUAAGCUCUAUGUUAACAAGUCUAUAGGCUAUAAAGAUUUUUCAUGGACAGUUGAGUUUCUUGCUUGCAACACCUCCAUUGUUAUGUUCUUUUCUCAAAAUGAUAUUAAGAAAAAAUAGUAAGCUGGUUGCUGUCCA